AGUGAACGCUGGCGGCGUGGAUUAGGCAUGCAAGUCGAACGCGAAAGCGACUCUUCGGAGUUGCAAGUAGAGUGGCGUAAGGGUGAGUAAUGCUUGGAUGACCUGCCCUCAAGACGGGGAUAACAGCCCGAAAGGACUGCUAAUACCCGAUGGUCUCCCUGGGAUGCGUCCCAGGGAGUAAAUGGUUGAUUCCGCUUGAGGAGGGGUCCAAGUCCUAUCAGCUUGUUGGUGAGGUAACGGCUCACCAAGGCAAUGACGGGUAGCCGGACUGAGAGGUUGGCCGGCCACAUGGGAACUGAGACACUGUCCUG
rnacentral:rRNA from 1 species